rnacentral:rRNA from 1 species
AUUGAACGCUGGCGGCAUGCCUUACACAUGCAAGUCGAACGGCAGCGUGAUCUAGCUUGCUAGAUUGAUGGCGAGUGGCGAACGGGUGAGUAAUACAUCGGAACGUGCCCUGUAGUGGGGGAUAACUAGUCGAAAGAUUAGCUAAUACCGCAUACGACCUGAGGGUGAAAGUGGGGGACCGCAAGGCCUCACGCUAUAGGAGCGGCCGAUGUCUGAUUAGCUAGUUGGUGAGGUAAAGGCUCACCAAGGCGACGAUCAGUAGCUGGUCUGAGAGGACGAUCAGCCACACUGGGACUGAGACACGGCCCAGACUCCUACGGGAGGCAGCAGUGGGGAAUUUUGGACAAUGGGGGCAACCCUGAUCCAGCAAUGCCGCGUGUGUGAAGAAGGCCUUCGGGUUGUAAAGCACUUUUGUCCGGAAAGAAAUCGCACUUACUAAUAUUAGGUGUGGAUGACGGUACCGGAAGAAUAAGGACCGGCUAACUACGUGCCAGCAGCCGCCGUAAUAC